rnacentral:rRNA from 1 species
GCCCCGGGUGAGGCUCUGGGUCCACCUCCCACCCGUGUCUAUCGUACCUUGUUGCUUCGGCGGGCCCGCCGUUUCGACGGCCGCCGGGGAGGCCUUGCGCCCCCGGGCCCGCGCCCGCCGAAGACCCCAACAUGAACGCUGUUCUGAAAGUAUGCAGUCUGAGUUGAUUAUCGUAAUCAGUUAAAACUUUCAACAACGGAUCUCUUGGUUCCGGCAUCGAUGAAGAACGCAGCGAAAUGCGAUAAGUAAUGUGAAUUGCAGAAUUCAGUGAAUCAUCGAGUCUUUGAACGCACAUUGCGCCCCCUGGUAUUCCGGGGGGCAUGCCUGUCCGAGCGUCAUUGCUGCCCUCAAGCACGGCUUGUGUGUUGGGCCCCCGUCCCCCUCUCCCGGGGGACGGGCCCGAAAGGCAGCGGCGGCACCGCGUCCGGUCCUCGAGCGUAUGGGGCUUUGUCACCUGCUCUGUAGGCCCGGCCGGCGCCAGCCGACACCCAACUUUAUUUUUCUAAGGUUGACCUCGGAUCAGGUAGGGAUACCCGCUGAACUUAAGCAUAUCAAUAAGCGGAGGAAG